GACGAACGCUGGCGGCGUGCUUAACACAUGCAAGUCGAACGGAAAGGCCCUGCUUUUGUGGGGUGCUCGAGUGGCGAACGGGUGAGUAACACGUGAGUAACCUGCCCUUGACUUUGGGAUAAUUUCAGGAAACUGGGGCUAAUACCGGAUAGGAGCUCCUGCUGCAUGGUGGGGGUUGGAAAGUUUCGGCGGUUGGGGAUGGACUCGCGGCUUAUCAGCUUGUUGGUGGGGUAGUGGCUUACCAAGGCUUUGACGGGUAGCCGGCCUGAGAGGGUGACCGGCCACAUUGGGACUGAGAUACGGCCCAGACUCCUACGGGAGGCAGCAGUGGGGAAUAUUGCACAAUGGGCGGAAGCCUGAUGCAGCAACGCCGCGUGCGGGAUGACGGCCUUCGGGUGGUAAACCGCUUUCGCCUGUGACGAAGCGUGAGUGACGGUAAUGGGGAAAGAAGCACCGGCUAACUACGU
rnacentral:rRNA from 1 species